rnacentral:misc_RNA from 1 species
ACGAGUUUUGAAGUGGGAUUGAUGCUGGCCUCCCGAGGCAUGUGCUCGUCCUCGCUCAUCCACUCACAACACCUGUGCACUGUUGAGGUGUGGCCCCCCUUCAAUUGGAGCCGUUCCCCCCUCGCAUAUAUAUAUAUAUAUAUACGAAGGGGUCGAGCCGGGGUCAGGCCUUCUUCUCACUCACAAACAACUUGCAAUGUCUAUUAUGAAUGUGACGUUUUAUGUUAAUGAAACAAUA